rnacentral:rRNA from 1 species
UACGUAGGGUGCGAGCGUUAAUCGGAAUUACUGGGCGUAAAGCGUGCGCAGGCGGUUUGCUAAGACCGAUGUGAAAUCCCCGGGCUUAACCUGGGAACUGCAUUGGUGACUGGCAGGCUUUGAGUAUGGCAGAGGGGGGUAGAAUUCCACGUGUAGCAGUGAAAUGCGUAGAGAUGUGGAGGAAUACCGAUGGCGAAGGCAGCCCCCUGGGCCAAUACUGACGCUCAUGCACGAAAGCGUGGGGAGCAAACAGG